UAGCUAGUUGGUGAGGUAAAGGCUUACCAAGGCGACGAUCUGUAGCGGGUCUGAGAGGAUGAUCCGCCACACUGGAACUGAGACACGGUCCAGACUCCUACGGGAGGCAGCAGUGGGGAAUUUUGGACAAUGGGGGCAACCCUGAUCCAGCCAUGCCGCGUGAGUGAAGAAGGCCUUCGGGUUGUAAAGCUCUUUCGGCCGGGAAGAAAUCGCAUGGGCCAAUACCCUGUGUGGAUGACGGUACCGGAAUAAGAAGCACCGGCUAACUACGUGCCAGCAGCCGCGGUAAUACGUAGGGUGCGAGCGUUAAUCGGAAUUACUGGGCGUAAAGCGUGCGCAGGCGGUUUUGUAAGACAGGCGUGAAAUCCCCGGGCUUAACCUGGGAACUGCGUUUGUGACUGCAAGGCUAGAGUACGGCAGAGGGGGGUGGAAUUCCACGUGUAGCAGUGAAAUGCGUAGAGAUGUGGAGGAACACCAAUGGCGAAGGCAGCCCCCUGGGACGAUACUGACGCUCAUGCACGAAAGCGUGGGUAGCAAACAGGAUUAGAUACCCUGGUAGUCCACGCCCUAAACUAUGUCAACUAGGUGUUGGGUGGGUAAACCAUUUAGUACCGUAGCUAACGCGUGAAGUUGACCGCCUGGGGAGUACGGCCGCAAGGUUAAAACUCAAAGGAAUUGACGGGGACCCGCACAAGCGGUGGAUGAUGUGGAUUAAUUCGAUGCAACGCGAAAAACCUUACCUACCCUUGACAUGCCAGGAACUUGCCAGAGAUGGCUUGGUGCCCGAAAGGGAGCCUGGACACAGGUGCUGCAUGGCUGUCGUCAGCUCGUGUCGUGAGAUGUUGGGUUAAGUCCCGCAACGAGCGCAACCCUUGUCGUUAAUUGCCAUCAUUUGGUUGGGCACUUUAACGAGACUGCCGGUGACAAACCGGAGGAAGGUGGGGAUGACGUCAAGUCCUCAUGGCCCUUAUGGGUAGGGCUUCACACGUCAUACAAUGGUCGGUACAAAGGGUUGCCAAGCCGCGAGGCGGAGCCAAUCCCAGAAAGCCGAUCGUAGUCCGGAUUGCAGGCUGCAACUCGCCUGCAUGAAGUCGGAAUCGCUAGUAAUCGUGGAUCAGCAUGUCACGGUGAAUACGUUCCCGGGUCUUGUACACACCGCCCGUCACACCAUGGGAGCGGGUUCCGCCAGAAGUAGGUAGCCUAACCGCAAGGGGGGCGCUUACCACGGCGGGGUUCGUGACUGGGGUGAAGCCGUAACAAGGUAGCCGUAGGGGAACCUGCGGCUG
rnacentral:rRNA from 1 species